rnacentral:rRNA from 1 species
ACGAACGCUGGCGGCGUGGAUAAGACAUGCAAGUCGAACGAGAGAAUUGCUAGCUUGCUAAUAAUUCUCUAGUGGCGCACGGGUGAGUAACACGUGAGUAACCUGCCCCCGAGAGCGGGAUAGCCCUGGGAAACUGGGAUUAAUACCGCAUAGUAUCGAAGGAUUAAAGCAGCAAUGCGCUUGGGGAUGGGCUCGCGGCCUAUUAGUUAGUUGGUGAGGUAACGGCUCACCAAGGCGAUGACGGGUAGCCGGUCUGAGAGGAUGUCCGGCCACACUGGAACUGAGACACGGUCCAGACACCUACGGGUGGCAGCAGUCGAGAAUCAUUCACAAUGGGGGAAACCCUGAUGGUGCGACGCCGCGUGGGGGAAUGAAGGUCUUCGGAUUGUAAACCCCUGUCAUGUGGGAGCAAAUUAAAAAGAUAGUACCACAAGAGGAAGAGACGGCUAACUCUGUGCCAGCAGCCGCGGUAAUACAGAGGUCUCAAGCGUUGUUCGGAAUCACUGGGCGUAAAGCGUGCGUAGGCUGUUUCGUAAGUCGUGUGUGAAAGGCGCGGGCUCAACCCGCGGACGGCACAUGAUACUGCGAGACUAGAGUAAUGGAGGGGGAACCGGAAUUCUCGGUGUAGCAGUGAAAUGCGUAGAUAUCGAGAGGAACACUCGUGGCGAAGGCGGGUUCCUGGACAUUAACUGACGCUGAGGCACGAAGGCCAGGGGAGCGAAAGGGAUUAGAUACCCCUGUAGUCCUGGCAGUAAACGGUGCACGCUUGGUGUGCGGGGAAUCGACCCCCUGCGUGCCGGAGCUAACGCGUUAAGCGUGCCGCCUGGGGAGUACGGUCGCAAGAUUAAAACUCAAAGAAAUUGACGGGGACCCGCACAAGCGGUGGAGUAUGUGGCUUAAUUCGAUGCAACGCGAAGAACCUUACCUGGGCUUGACAUGUAAUGAACAACAUGUGAAAGCAUGCGACUCUUCGGAGGCGUUACACAGGUGCUGCAUGGCCGUCGUCAGCUCGUGUCGUGAGAUGUUUGGUUAAGUCCAGCAACGAGCGCAACCCCUGUUGCCAGUUACCAGCACGUGAAGGUGGGGACUCUGGCGAGACUGCCCAGAUCAACUGGGAGGAAGGUGGGGACGACGUCAGGUCAGUAUGGCCCUUAUGCCCAGGGCUGCACACGUACUACAAUGCCCAGUACAGAGGGGGCCGAAGCCGCGAGGCGGAGGAAAUCCUAAAAACUGGGCCCAGUUCGGACUGUAGGCUGCAACCCGCCUACACGAAGCCGGAAUCGCUAGUAAUGGCGCAUCAGCUACGGCGCCGUGAAUACGUUCCCGGGUCUUGUACACACCGCCCGUCACAUCAUGGAAGCCGGUCGCACCCGAAGUAUCUGAAGCCAACCGCAAGGAGGCAGGGUCCUAAGGUGAGACUGGUAACUGGGAUG